rnacentral:rRNA from 1 species
ACGGCGAGUGAACCGGGAAGAGCUCAAAUUUGAAAUCUGGCGUCCUCAGGGCGUCCGAGUUGUAAUCUAUAGAGGCGUUUUCCGUGCCGGACCGUGUCCAAGUUCCUUGGAACAGGAUAUCAAAGAGGGUGACAAUCCCGUACUUGACACGACGACCGGUGCUCUGUGAUACGUCUUCUACGAGUCGAGUUGUUUGGGAAUGCAGCUCAAAAUGGGUGGUGAGUUCCAUCUAAAGCUAAAUAUUGGCGAGAGACCGAUAGCGAACAAGUACCGUGAGGGAAAGAUGAAAAGCACUUUGGAAAGAGAGUUAAACAGUACGUGAAAUUGUUGAAAGGGAAACGAUUGAAGUCAGUCGUGACCGAGAGGCUCAGCCGGUUCUGCCGGUGUAUUCCCCUCGGUCGGGUCAACAUCAGUUUUGUCCGGUGGAUAAGGGCGGUAGGAAGGUGGCACCCUCGGGUGUGUUAUAGCCUGCCGUCGCAUACAUCGGGUGAGACUGAGGAACGCAGCUCGCCUUUAUGGCCGGGGUUCGCCCACGUCCGAGCUUAGGAUGUUGACAUAAUGGCUUUAAACGACCCGUCUUGAA